UACGGAGGGAGCUAGCGUUAUUCGGAAUUACUGGGCGUAAAGCGCACGUAGGCGGCUUUGUAAGUUAGAGGUGAAAGCCUGGAGCUCAACUCUAGAAUUGCCUUCGAGACUGCAUCGCUUGAAUCCAGGAGAGGUGAGUGGAAUUCCGAGUGUUGAGGUGAAAUUCGUAGAUAUUCGGAAGAACACCAGUGGCGAAGGCGGCUCACUGGACUGGUAUUGACGCUGAGGUGCGAAAGCGUGGGGAGCAAACGGG
rnacentral:rRNA from 1 species